GCUAAUUCAUGCUCCUGUAGCAGCAUAUGUGAGGAGACAUUUCUCCAAAUCCUUGUCAACUCUUAGUUUUAUCUCUCCCUAAAAAUUCCAUCACUGUGGUUAGUCUUUCAUUUGUAUAGCAUCUUUCUUAAAAUGUUUAACCAAAAAUUUUGUUUUAAUCUAAUGAUGCAGGCCAGUAGGUUUGUGUACGCCCAUCUGACCCCAGCCAUGUAGUGCCGGUGUUCCCUCUGAAGUGUGACUCUGGUAAGUAUUCUGGAAUUAUUGUCAAGAAAA